AUCAAUGACUUGAGAUAAAAAGAAGAUGUCUUCCACGGGGUCCGAGUCCUCUGAGCCCCAGAGCUAUAGGCUUUCCGUCAAUAGUGGCACUAACGUUUUACGAUACCAUUCCACAGCGAAAGAUAGAACAGCAACAGCGGCAGGAACUGGAACCGCUGAUCCCCAUGGUACCCCUCUUCGGUUGAGAUUCAACAGUGUGACGCUGGACGAGCUGAGUGAUGAGCUUGAUCGCCGCACCAAAGAAACCCAAAGACUACAAGAAGAGGUGGAAAAUGCAACUAAGGUGGUUCUGGAGAGAUUUGGCGGCAGCUGUAGGUCACCUGGACAAAGCUGCCAUGAUAUUAAACCUCAUACCUAUGACUCUCUUGGAGAUUCCUCCUUUCUUUCAACCCACCAGCAGGCAGUGACUCAGCCUUUGGUCUUUGGUCUGGAUAUUUUAAACCAGGAAGUAGCCCAAAGGGACAUCAGCUCUCCUGGAAAGGAGGUGUUAGAAAAUGCAAUGGAUGACUGCCUUCAGCAGCUGUCAGACUUGCAGCUCAACAAGACAGUUAAUCGAGCUGAACAAGAAACAUGCUGUCCUCAGAAAGCCAUCACAAACCUGAAAACUGAGCUGCAUAAAGUCCAGAUGGAGAAAGAUGCCCUGUCUGACCUGAGAUUAAAGGAUUCGAGGAAACACGUUGAUCAGAUGGAAAAGAUGCUGUGCUUGUUGGAAGAGCUUCAGAAACUCAAAAGGUCGAGGGACAAGAAGCUGCAGGAGAUGGAGAAUGAGGCAGUCGCGCUUAAUAGGAAAGUUGAAACAUUGGAGCAGACCAUAAAGGAGGUGUAUCAUACAUUGGAUGGGAAACAAUCUGAACACUCAGUCACCGGCACUAAACAUGGGAACCGCGAAACGCAGCAAUUUUUUCCUAAUGAACGACUGAACGACAAGCUACAGGGGAGGCCUUUUUUGUCAGAAGAUCAGAUAGGGAACAAGGAAUACAGUGGAGCAAUUGAACAGGAAAGACUGGAACACCUCAUUUCAACUCUUGGCCAGGAGAUGGCGAUGUUGACUGACAUACUGAGCUCAUCAAAAGACAACAGCUUCAACUUGUGUGCCAAAGUGGAGUUGCUCAAAAAACUCACCGAGAGACCGCCCUCAUUGCACGAGUAUCAGGCCAGAGAAUUGGAGUCAACCAUUUCCAGCCUUAAAGAUAAGGUUUGUGGUCUGGAGCAGCAGCUAACUGAGGAUCAGAAGCAGCUCUUGAGUGCUCAGCGAGAAAAAGACAAAUCAUUGCAACAGGCAAUGGAACUUUAUUCUCAGCUUAAACAACUUAAGAGGUGCUGUGACCAGCAGCAGUGUGAGCUCCAGGAGGGAUUAAAGGUCCUUCGAGGGCAGCUGAAGGUGACUAAGGAGCAGCUUCACCAAGCUGGGGACGAGAAAACCCGCCUAGAGGCCCUGCUGGAGCAGAGGGACCAUGAGGGAAGGAAAUUCCAGGAACUCCUGAGUGAGAAAGACAAAGAACUCCACUUAAGGCAACAAGAAACUCAUCAACAUCUUAACAGGUUUAAAGAGGCUCAGAGUCAGUGCCAGACCCUGCAGAUAGAACAAGAGACAUUGAAGCUGAAGCUGAGUGACAGAGAGAAGACAAUAGAUCUUCUCAAGUUCCAGAUCAAGAGCAGCAUCCAGAUGACAGUCCAAUACAGCCGCACCAUCGAUGAUCUUCAACAGGAGAACAGCCUCCUCAGCAACCAGCUCAACCAGCACAAGCUGGAGAUGCAGCAGCUAAGGGCUGAGGUAGAUCGCCAUAAGUCACACCUGGCGGCUUUAGAGCAUGAGAGACGACAGCUCGAGGCCUCUGUGGCUGAGCAGAGCCAGCGCAUCCGGGAGGAGACUCUGGAGAAACAGCAGCUUACCACCCAGCUGGAAUUGCGGCGUGUGCAGUUAGUCAGCCUUACUAAGGAGCACAAGGAGCUGCAACGGCUGCACAGCUGUAAGAACGAGGAGCAUGAGGGUGUGGUGCUGAAUCUUCAGAGUCAGAUAAGGAACGCCCACGAUGAGCUAGAUCAGAUCCGGAGCACCUUGGGGACCCUCAAAGGGGCUGACGGACAUGGCCUCCAGGUAGCCUUGGACAUGCAGAAGGAGAUAACUGCCAGGAGAGAGCAGGUGGACUCGAUGCAGAGCAAAAUUCAACAUCUGGAGGAGAAAGUGGAGAAGCUGCAUCACGAGAAAGACUACCAGAACUUGGAGACCCAGCGUCAGCUCCAGGAACUCACCUUUGUCAGGGAGGAGAAGAGACAACUUGCCAACGAGCUCGAGGUGCUUCGCUCCAAAGAUCAACAGUUAACAGAUAGGAUCAGUGAGCUGGAGGCAAUCCUUCACAAGAUGUCGGAGAGCUUUGCAAACUGUCAGGAUUUUAUCCAGCUGCGGGAGCAGGAAUAUUUCCGCUUAAAACUACAGCAUGCCCUCGACUUGAAGGAGCUCCAAGGUCAAAAUCUGCACGCAGCUCUGAAAGUGUGUCCACCUGAUCUGGACUCCCUGAUCCCAUCUGCACACACAGCUCCACCUUCCUCCCAGCAUGCCUUCAACGCCCAGAUGAAGUCAAGGAGGCAGCUGGAGAGCCCCACUUGUGAGCUCAGAUCUCUUGACAAAAUCCUGCGAGGAGGGAUUUUGGAGAACCCUGGACCACACACCGAUAACAGCAUCACUGGCAGCAGCUUCCACAGGAGGAGGUCUGCACCAGAGAGAGUACACAGAACCGCAUUAACUGAUCACGGCGAUACUGGAUACAAACUGAGGAGAAAUACCUUCAGCAGCGAGCUAUGUUUCCUGAAGACAGCUGAACCAGAUGAGAAAAUAAUCAAGUCCUUCAGUCAGAGCAAUUUUAUGUUGAUACCAGAGACUGCAGUGAGGGAUACUUCCUCACCACCGCUACUCACACUGGGUCGCAGGUCACCAGUCCACUCUCUCCUGACCUCUGACCCAAACAACUAACAGAGACACGCCAAAAUGCUCCUGAACCUCUCUUCUUUUAUCAAUGCUGCCCCCUCCUGUAGCCCCCAUCCUCUGGGAUUGCCAUAAGGCUCAGCACAAUGAGCAUCAUGCGUGGGUUUAGCCAUGUCCUCACAAGCCGCUGAGCAUCCACUUUCCUCCCGGCGGAGAGCGUCACAUCGUCCGGUUCCCCCUUUAUAGAAGCCCCGCCCAGAAAUCAGUCGAUGAAUUCAACAUCGUACUCACCAGCGUCUGACCAAUCAGCGCCUGAAGGGGGUGGUCUCGAGACGGUGGUCCGGGAGGAAGAUAGCCAAUGAAAACGUCUGCUGGUCGGACAAAGAGCUCGCGUCAACAAUCGUUGGUUGCUUGAAUGGCACAUUAUUCAUGUCCACGCGGUUCGUAUUUAAGGAGGUAAGAUGAGGCGAGAUAGCGGUUUCCGUAUAAAAUGUAACGGGUCCUGACAGUCUCCACAGUUGAUGUGUUGUACAGAGACGCGAGCUGAAGGUGUUUCCUUCCCAAAGUCACUUUCCCCAAAAACGGUUACCGUCGUUAUGUGCGGUGCAGCUCGGUCCCGGUAAGCGUGUUAAAAAGUCACCGGGUGUCACACUACCGGCGGCAUGUGGAUGUGCACGCUGCUGCCAAAUCAUUCAUAACCCUGGUAGAACUGGGUGUACUACUUCCAGCUCGUGUUUCACUGCGACUUAAAAUAUAAUCACACUUGUUAAGCAUGAACUCAAAUAGAAGUUGUUUGGGGUCAUCUGGCUAGAGCAAAAGCAAACAAAGUGUGCGCAAAGACGCACAAAAAAUCGAUAUAUAGAGAAAUGUAAAAACAUAAAAAAGAAAGACAAAAUAGACUGUUUUUGGUGUGUAGAUGCAUUAUAUAUGUGUUUUGUUGUGUUUUUAUGUGACUUGGGUCUUGUAAGAAAAACAUCAUCACUGCCGUUUUCUUUCUCUUUGCACACGCCCACCGCCCCUGCAGCCUACCCAAACGACGCUGUUCGCCUGACCGGGUACAUUAAUACGUAGAGGAAGGGGAGGAGGAGGUCAGCUCCUUUUCUGCGUCCCGGUGUACCGAGAGCUGCCGUUUCAUUUCAUCAUCGCCUCCGAGGAGCUCCGUCUUCUCUUUCCCUAGGUACCAGAUUUUAGUAGUAUCUGGUAUUUUAAUGAAGAAGUGCCAACAUUUUUGAUACUCAUUUCCUCCUCCACCUCGCCUCUGUCUGACUGUGGAGUUCACGCCGGAGCCGUUAAGAGAGAAGUUUAAACCCUAGCUGCUGCUCAGGAGACUGCGGUUACACCGUCCCACACCUCCCCUUCGCUGUCUCUAGUUGAAGAUUUUUGGAGAAUACCGUCCAAAAGUUUUUGGUUUCUUUUUUUCUGUGUGCCAA